rnacentral:rRNA from 1 species
AUGGCAGACCACCACCAGCAGCAGCAGCAGCCCCCGUCGUCCGCCUGCACCAACUGCGGCACCGAGCGCGCCGUCGUCUACUGCUCCGCCCACGGCGCCCGGCUCUGCCUCGAGUGCGACGGCGCCGUGCACGGCGUCAACCAGGUCACGUCCCUCCACCCGCGCGCCCCGAUCUGCGACGCCUGCGGCGUCGCCCACGCCGCGAUCCGCUGCCAGAUGGCCGGCAACCGGUCCGCGCUCUGCGGCGCCUGCGCCGACCGCCUGGCCGCGCCGGACGGCGCCCCCAUCGUGGAGGAGUACACCGGGUGCCCCUCGCCCGCCGAGAUGCUCCGCAUCCUCUCCGUCGAGGCCCCCUCGUCGCAGGAGGACUUCGACGCCUGGCUCGCCGAGAAACUGCCCGAAAUCAUGCAGGAGGUUCAGGAUGGACCUCAGAUAUGCGAUGCCAGUGGAACAACAACAACAAUAGUAGGAGAUCAAAGAGGCACCAGCAGCAGCAGCUUCGGCUGUGAUGAUUGGAGCAAUGCCUGCUCAACUUCUGGGCUUGAGAAUACUAAUGGAGUAUUUGUUGGAAAUCACUCAGCUGGGCCUUCACUCCCUUUUGAGCAACAGCAGCACCUGCCACCAUCGAUCUGCCAAUUCCUCUCAUCAUCAUACUCAUGUUAUAAUCCAUCCUCCUCAUCAUGCCAGCCGGUCAUGACAUCGACUACUCUUCUCCAAUCCAUGGGAGGCAACGAUCACCAUCCGUCUUAUCUCCUCGAUGGCUUCCCUACUUUCUGCCCUUCCAUGCCCCUAAUGUCGCCACCGCCACCACCGGAGAACGGCACCAGCUGUCAUGACGCCAACCAGCCAUCGCAGAUGCUGGCCACGGAUGAGCAAGCGGCGGCGGCUCAUCACCAGCAAGAUCCAAGCACCAUUGCUAAGAAGCGAGAGGAAAGGGACAGGGCCAAGCAAAGGUACAACGAGAAGAAGAAGAACAGAAAGUUCUGCAAGCAGAUCAUGUAUGCCUCCCGCAAAGCGAGGGCAGACACGCGGAAGCGGGUCAAGGGCAGAUUCGCAAAGGCUAGCAAUGAACACCAACACAUACUACACUCAGAUGCAGGAUAA